rnacentral:tRNA from 1 species
UCUAACGUAGCUUAGGGAAGAAAAGCACCACUUUGAAGAGGUGGGGACGACACCGUCUGUCCGUAGAA